rnacentral:rRNA from 1 species
AAGACCUUGCGCUUUUGGAGCGGCCGAKGCCUGAUUAGCUUGUUGGUAAGGUAAAAGCUUACCAAGGCUUCGAUCAGUAGCUGGUCUGAGAGGACGACCAGCCACACUGGGACUGAGACACGGCCCAGACUCCUACGGGAGGCAGCAGUGGGGAAUUUUGGACAAUGGGGGCAACCCUGAUCCAGCCAUGCCGCGUGAGUGAAGAAGGCCUUCGGGUUGUAAAGCUCUUUCAGCCGGAACGAAACGGUUACGGUUAAUACCCGUGAUUACUGACGGUACCGGAAGAAGAAGCACCGGCUAACUACGUGCCAGCAGCCGCGGUAAUACGUAGGGUGCGAGCGUUAAUCGGAAUUACUGGGCGUAAGGCGUGCGCAGGUGGUUUUGUAAGUCAGAUGUGAAAGCCCCGGGCUCAACCUGGGAACU